CAAACCAUACUUUCGUUUUACCAUCCGUGGUUCAUGAGCUUCCUAACUCUGAUAAAUCUCACGCGCACACACACAAAGGGCCAAACUCAUAGGGUCUUCGCUCUAGUGUUAGAUCUCAAGCAUAAAUGAGCUCUUUUUCUCUUUUUAUUCUCUGCUUUAUCACGAAUUUCGUAUUCUAUUCCUUUUCUCUCUAAUCUUAAGGUAUUAGUUCUAAUUUUCUCCUCCUUUUCAACCUUAUUUUCUACUUUACACAUUGGAUACCAACUGGAUUUUCUUCUGAAUAUGACCAGGUCUGUGGCAUCUGAAAUGGAUUUUUCUUUUUAUAUAAAAAAAUUAAUUAAGAAAAUUGUGUUUUUGUGGGAAUGGAUCGAUCCUUUGUAGAAACCUGAGCUGCAUAUCAAAUCUGUGAAUUAUAUACAAAAUAUUGUAUCUGUACUCAUUGUUAUUAUUAAAUAGUACCUUAAAAGAAGAAUAGGGUUUUGUUUUGUGCUUGGGUUAGAUUCUUCUCGGGUACCCCUCUUCACGUUAGCAUAUUCUCGAGGAUUGGUUUUAUUCCUCCACUAUUUUCCUUUCUGAAUGUCCUCAAAUUUUUCUUUCUAAAUAUAUGUAUUCUGCGUAUCAUUUUCUUGUUAGAAUUUACAGUAUUUGACUCAAAUGCAUGGAGGAAAUGUAUAGAUUGACAGUCGUUGUUUGCGGGUGUGGCAUCAUCAAGAUUCACACAUGCAAGUAACUGCUAAAGUUCUUUGAAAGUGAGAAUCUUGAUGAUGCUGCAUCUGCAAUAAACCACUAUACAACAGAGAGGAGACUCCACAGUCCACAGUUUUACCUUUUUCACUUCAAUGAUUUAAUUGGUAUGCUUUCUAUCUACUGUUUCAGGUAAGGGUAUUUUUUUUAAAACAAAUAUUCUGCUUCUUAGUUUUAGAAUUUUUUUUUAUUUUUGUUAACAGAUGGAGCCCAUAUAUAUCAUCAGUAGUGUUUUCAGGUGUUAUAUUUAUGGCCUCAUUAACUUGGCACUGCUGACUGUUGGUAGAUCUGUGAUUAUUCUUCUGAGAAAAGCUUGAUUGGGGUACAAGGGUUACCUGAGCAAGUCUGUUUAUGCAUAGAGAGAGAGAGAGAGAGAGAGAGAGAGAGAGAGAGAGAGAGAGAGAUAUGAGACUUUGUCUACGGUACUGGGAUGAGAAAGGAGAGUGUUGAUCAGCCUUGACGAUGCUGCGAAGCUUUAAAGCAUUUUGAAAAAGAUGACAAUGAUUGGCCAAAAAUGGAAACGACCUCUUGUGUCAACAACAAGAAUCCCGCCUUUGCCAUCCUAGUCAUGGUCUAUAUCUGCUAUCAAAGAUGUUCCUCCUACUUUUCGUCAAGAGAGGAAUAGGCCUAAUAUUUUGAGGCAGAUUUAUCUUUCUCGCACACAAUCUCAUUCUAUGGGUGGUGCGACCAGGAGUGAUAUGCUCCUCACUUAGAGCCAAGAAACAUUGAUCCUCUAUGACCUUGGCGGGAAAACACCAUACCUUCUUCGCCCUGUACUCGUUCCCAGACCAUAAGUGGUGCUAGCGAGACCUCUUCUUAUCAACAUCGAAAUGCAGCAGGAUCCCAGCUUGAUGAUACUCAUAAUGAUUUACCUACUGAAGCACCUACUAGAAAGAGGAGUGCAGUUCAUCGUCGACAUGGGAGAAAGAAAUUAAAAAAACUAAUGUUAUAUACCAUGAUGAACAAUGUCAUUACGUUACACCAAUUAUAAUUGCAUAUUAAUGCCUUUUUGCUUUUC